rnacentral:rRNA from 1 species
AUUGAACGCUGGCGGCAGGCUUAACACAUGCAAGUCGAGCGGGGUGAUGGUGCUUGCACUAUCACUUAGCGGCGGACGGGUGAGUAAUGCUUAGGAAUCUGCCUAUUAGUGGGGGACAACAUCUCGAAAGGGAUGCUAAUACCGCAUACGUCCUACGGGAGAAAGCAGGGGAUUACUUGUGACCUUGCGCUAAUAGAUGAGCCUAAGUCGGAUUAGCUAGUUGGUGGGGUAAAGGCCUACCAAGGCGACGAUCUGUAGCGGGUCUGAGAGGAUGAUCCGCCACAAUGGGACUUAGACACGGCCCAGACUCCUACGGGAGGCAGCAGUGGGGAAUAUUGGACAAUGGGGGGAACCCUGAUCCAGCCAUGCCGCGUGUGUGAAGAAGGCCUUAUGGUUGUAAAGCACUUUAAGCGAGGAGGAGGCUCUUUUGGUUAAUACCCAAGAUGAGUGGACGUUACUCGCAGAAUAAGCACCGGCUAACUCUGUGCCAGCCGCCGCAGUAA